ensembl:lncRNA
AUGUAUCUGCAGGUAACAUGCCAACUCACAACAUGUCUCUCUGGAAUAGAUAACUUUAUUGUUGUUUGUUUAGAAUGGAAGCUUAUUAAAGAACCCACUCAAGCUGCCAAAGUUUCAAAAGAGAAUCUGCUAAGGGAAUAUGCAACUAGGAAACCACUUAGAAUGAAGAUGGAUGUAAGGGACUCUGAAGAGGAGAGGGAACGGCAACUUCUCUUAUUCUAUAAACAGCAGCAAGAAUGGGCAUGUCCACUUCAUUGUACUCUGGUUGGUCAUUGGGAGGAUCAUGCGCCAAAUUAAACAGUUGAGAAAGGGACUGAAAGAUGUGAUGGUGUGGCCCCUGCUGACAUCUAGGCCCGAUGUUGUCCCACUUCUCCCCAGAAUGGCUGAAAUGCAGUUCACACCCCAGGUAAGUGAGUCAUUUUGUUAUAUUUGUGACUUAACUGGAUGAAUUUACGUGUAUUUUCAAUGACAGAGCUGGUCAUUUUUCCAUUUUCCAAGAAUGUGAGCUGCAUAUUCCUUAACCAAAAUAAGUUCUCCCUUUAAAAUAAUUAAAAUUGUUGUUUUCUUUAAGAUGCUCCUAGAAAAAAAUCACAUGGCCAGUUGAGGACAGUGAUGAUGAAGACUUUGACUUAGACUCCACCUGCCACAUCACUGGCUUUCUAAGGAUGUUCAUUGAAACAGGUAUAAACACCUUAUUUGCUCUCUUUACAAAUGCUUCUAUGUCUCAUGGAUAGAUAUGAUCCAUUAAAGUUGAACUACAUGUCUUUAAUCCAUUUUAUGACUUUUAGCUUCAUCAGGUACCCUGGCCAAGCUGCUGACAUUCUGGGUUGGCUGGGAGAUGCUUCCUCCUGAACUGAGAGUGGAGAUUUCUGGGGGAACCCUUCCUACAUUCUCCACAUGCUUUGAAACACUGAAGCUGCCAGCUCAUUUAAAAAUCUAUAUGGACUUUGAGAAAGCACUUGUCGCAGCCAUAAAAUGUAUUGGAUUUGGGCUUGUUUAAGCUUUUUCAGACAGAUGUCAAUGCAUAUACUGUUAAGAGGAAUUGACACAAGUUCAGUGUCUUUGAAAACAUUAACACACUGUGCAGUAGUUGACAAUUUUUUUAUUCUACAUAUUUUUUCCAUUUACUGAAAUCAAACAGUUCUGCACCUUCAGUGCUAACAGUACAGCAUUCAUGUUAGUCAUUCUGUGGACCAUAAUGAGACAGGAAGCUUCAGAAGCUUUUUUCUUCUUUUUUUUUUAAGGAAAGUAAACUUUUUCAGUUUGUCCUUGCUUGUUCUAACACAACAAAUAAAAAACAUGGGUUGGACAUCAGUCUGCUAAGAUUCUUGAUAACACUUCCACAGUCUCUACAUAUAGUCUAAGUGCAUCAGUAACAGAAACUCCUGGAGCUGGCAAAACUGCAACCUCUUCAUCUGAGAGCUCACGGACCAGCUGAACCUCGGGGACUGACACAGUCCCUCUAUGAAGGCCGUGAGGUCCGUUACAGUCAAUCCCAUACACCUCAGGAACCUGAAUGGAUGACAAGCAUAAUCAAUCUUGUACUUAAAACUAGUUUGACAUGUCAUUACACAAGAUUGCUAUUUCUGGUCACCAAGUCGGUGAGAAAUGAAAUGUUAGUUAUUAAAUUCAGUUUUGUAAAAUAAUACAGCUGUGCAUAAUACAACUGUAGAAACUACAGCUCACAGGUUGAUCUUUGAAAGCUCGAGAGAUUUUAAAGAGACAAUAGUCUAUAAUAAAUGUUUCAUUUAAAGUACCACAUUUAGCGCAAUAUUUUCUCCCAUAAUUCCUUUGGGGAUAAAAAGUGUUUAAAGUGAAUGGUUAACCUCAGUAGGAUCCUCCUCAGGGCCUGGCUCUCUGUAACUUCUCCAGAGUUGCUGUGGGGACUGAUUCCUUUCAGUUCUAAGACCAUGGAAGUUCCAAGCAUCUCGGAAAGAGUCAAGGCUUUGUCAGUGGAAGGAAGAUCUUGUGCAGAGCGAAAAGAUGGACUUCAUUGUCUGGAUUCAGUGUUCCCUGCUCUUCCGAUGAAGUGAAGAUCUGAUGAAGUGAAGAUCUGAUAGAAGAGGUCCAGGGCAUGUUCAUAAACAUCUCUCCACAUCCUCUCUAUUCUGUGUUUAGGAUACAAUUGCAAAUUGUUAAUUUAUGUGACAUAUGCUAAAGUACAUUCAACUGGUAUGUUAGUUGUGUGAGCCAAGUUGCCAAACAUAUUUAUUAACUGCUGAUUGUGGACACUUCUGCCUGUGAUGUGUGAAUUCCUGUCGGUAGCUCUGCUACAUCUGCAUUCUCCCCCCCUUUAUCAGACCGUACCCUUGAUGGCAGCCCAUACUGCUCAACAGCGGCGACAAAACAGACAGUGGUCUGUUUAAAUGCCACGGCUUUCCUGAGCAUUGUGUUCUGACCAUGUCCAUCCCUUUAUGACCACCAUGUACCCAUCCUCUGAUGGCUACUUCCAGCAGGAUAAUGCACCAUGUCACAAAGCUCGAAUCAUUUCAAAUUGGUUUCUUGAACAUGACAAUGAGUUCACUGUACUGAAAUGGCCCCCACAGUCACCAGAUCUCAACCCAAUAGAGCAUCUUUGGGAUGUGGUGGAACGGGAGCUUCGUGCCCUGGAUGUGCAUCCCACAAAUCUCCAUCAACUGCAAGAUGCUAUCCUAUCAAUAUGGGCCAACAAUUCUAAAUAAUGCUUUCAGCACCUUGUUGAAUCAAUGCCAUGUAGAAUUAAGGCAGUUCUGAAGGCGAAAGGGGGUCAAACAGUAUUAGUAUGGUGUUCCUAAUAAUCCUUUAGGUGAGUGUGUAUCAAUUACUCCCCUGGUUACAACAGCUGGGUAUCAAAACAACGGUCAGUGCUAUGCAUACUGAUAGAUGUGAAAUGUGCAAAAACAACAUCUCACACAAUGAGCAUUACUUCAACACGCAUUUUCAACUUAGACUGAAUACAGACACAUCAUCCAUUGAUAUUCUCUUCAGAUGACUAAUCACCAACGGUGGAGUACCCAAGAAAUGCAUGUGAUGGUGUAUUGAUUAGACAAACUGUUUGGAACACCACACCAGAUAUUCUAGUGUUUUUUGUGCCCCGUGUUGCAGACAACGUUACAGUUAAUAGAAACUCAGUUCUUCCCUCCCAUACAAUUGAAAUCCCAGUUGUUGGCAACAAGAAGGAGAAGAACAGAUUGAGCUCUGUGAUAUGCCAUUCAGGUAGAAAAUCUACAGACCAUAUUUCUGGUCAGUGCUGGAUUUUUACACUUUUAAUAUUUGGGCUGAUGAUGUACACAUUUCUGUUGGCAGGAAUAGGGAAGGGGUUAGCAUAAGUACAGAAGGGGUUAUAUUUUCUAUGAAGUAGCUAAUGAGCCUCAGACACAAAUCAAUUGUAGUGAUGUACACCAACAUGAUGCAGAAUCAGAUAUUUCUGUGAUUCCACAGUAUGACUACUUUUCCAACCAUACAGUGGAUGAAGCGUUACCCAUUUUGAUUUUUCUAAAAAGUACAUUAGCAUUUCAAGAAUGCCAUAAGAGAUUACUUAGAGCUGUGAGUGAAACCAUUUUGUCACUUCCCAGUUCAUUUCCCAGUUAGACGCAGUGGAUUCAACCAUGUUUUCACAAUCCAAGGUUCAACACCAACUUCAUUAUAGUUAUGUAAAGGAUAUAGUUGAAGAUCUUGUUCAGGAACUUCUAGCUUCUAACUUCUUGGUAAAUGACCUGCUCUACAUUCACAGUCUAAACAGAAAAACAACUCAUAGUAGAACCAAGGGAGAUUUCUACAGAAAGCAUUGGUGAAUAUCUUGUUUCAGUCCAACAGAACAGAGCAUGUAAUGUAUCUAAGAAAUCAAAAGGCUCCCAACAUUCCAACUGUUAUGUUACCCAUACCCCAAAGACUUUGCUAAUAGUCACAU